ensembl:snRNA U6 U6 spliceosomal RNA
GCUAAAUAAAUAAAUAUUUAGCCCAUACACUAAAAUUGGAAUGAUACAGAGAAGACCAGCAUGACCCCUGCACAAUGAUGACACACAAAUUCAUGAAGAUUUCCAUAUUAAU